GUCCACGCCCUAAACGAUGUGUGCUAGAUGUCGGGGACGUUGUCUCUCGGUGUCGGAGUUAACGUUUAAGUCACACCGCCUGGGGAGGUACGGCCGCAAGGUUAAACUACAAAGGAAUUGACGGGGCCCGGCACAAGCGGUGGAGCAUGUGGUUUAAUUCGACGCAACGCGCAGAACCUUACCAACUCUUGACAUGGCCGGUUUACCUGCAGAGAUGCAGGGUCCCGCAAGGGGCCGGUUACAGGUGCUGCAUGGCUGUCGU
rnacentral:rRNA from 1 species